GAUAAACCAUUAAGAAUCUAGGGGUAAUUGCUUAUAUAUCUCUAAAAAGUUUUCGACUUUUUAAUUUAUCCCUUGUAGAAGGUUAAUAUUAAAAAUAUCUUUUUUACGUUCCAACAUAUUUCAAAUAUACCUAUAGAGUUAAAUUUUGUUAAUGAACAGCUAGCAAUAACCGUUAUCUCUAUAAAAUUACUAUUUUACCCUUUCAAAUAUAUCCUUUUAUCAUCACCGACUUUUCUUAUCUGCCCUUAAGUUAGGGGCACGAAAAGUAUUUUAAUUUCGGUCUUUUCAAAUAUAUCCUUCUACCAUCACCAAUAUGUCUUAUUUGUUCUUAAGUUAAGGAACAAAGAGUAUUUUAUUUUGUUUAAACUCUGGUAGAUAUUUAACUUAUAUUUAACAUAAGUUAACUUAACGGAUAGUAACUGCACGAGCAUUUUAGAAUAACAAAACAUAUAAGCGGUAUUUUAUUUUUUUUUUGAGAAAAAUAUAAGCGGUAUAUUAGAAAGAAAAAAAAAAGCAAGUAUAAAUUAGAUAUUUUUGAAGUUUUGAAAGGUAUAUAGGUAAUUAUCCCAAGAAUUUAAUAUGAGAAUUUAAUCCAUUAGCAUUGAAGAUGAUGAUCAAAUU
rnacentral:lncRNA from 1 species